rnacentral:rRNA from 1 species
GACGAACGCUGGCGGCGUGCCUAAUACAUGCAAGUUGAGCGAUGAAGAUUGGUGCUUGCCCCAAUUUGAAGAGCAGCGAACGGGUGAGUAACGCGUGGGGAAUCUGCCUUUGAGCGGGGGACAACAUUUGGAAACGAAUGCUAAUACCGCAUAACAACUUUAAACAUAAGUUUUAAGUUUGAAAGAUGCAAUUGCAUCACUCAAAGAUGAUCCCGCGUUGUAUUAGCUAGUUGGUGAGGUAAAGGCUCACCAAGGCGAUGAUACAUAGCCGACCUGAGAGGGUGAUCGGCCACAUUGGGACUGAGACACGGCGCAAACUCCUACGGGAGGCAGCAGUAGGGAAUCUUCGGCAAUGGACGAAAGUCUGACCGAGCAACGCCGCGUGAGUGAAGAAGGUUUUCGGAUCGUAAAACUCUGUUGGUAGAGAAGAACGUUGGUGAGAGUGGAAAGCUCAUCAAGUGACGGUAACUACCCAGAAAGGGACGGCUAAUUACGUG